rnacentral:lncRNA from 1 species
CUUGCCAUGCAAAUUUCUACUUGCAAUCAAACGCACCAUAAAUUCCAAAUAUGCAUGGAUGUAGGUAAAUGUAUUAUAUCUGUAUUGAUAUUCUCCUCUUCCUUGGUGUUACAGGAGGUCUCACUUUGGCUUGGCUGUACCAUUGGCGGAAAUUGUCGUACACCAUUGCCAUGGAUGUUUAGAUCUCAUGUGUGUACGUUAAUCAAAGGCUGAAGCUGUAAGAAAAAUUGAAUCGGAGAAGAGUUCUAGGAAGGGUAAUCUGGCUUGAUAGCAUUUUCCCAAUUUUCGAGGUAGAGCUACGUAAAUCAUAACCCAAUUAUUGUUUUUCUUGUCCCACUUACCAGGAUGGCUAAAUAAUGGUACUCAUUUUGGUAACCCAUUAUUCUUGUGUUGGGCAUUUGGACCACUACUUUAACCUAAGCCUACUUACCUUAUUUGUCCACUCUAUUGGUUAAAUGGCCCAUCUCUCUUGCUGCCUCUAUGUCGUGAACUUACUGCUGCCUUUUUCUUCUUUACUCCUCCGUUCACUUUCGGUUUGCUCAUCUCUACUGCCUUUGUGGUUUGAUUCUUGUGUGAUAUUGGCUUCUUUUAUUGUCUCCUUUGUGGCUAAUCAAUAGCAACCGUAAGUGGAGGAACCAUUUUGGAAGUUUUGGGUUGUUGCUCGUUGUGGUGUUGAUUAGUUGGUGAACUGAGCCUGAUAAAGCCUUGGUGGUUUUAGUUUCUCACUUUACAUAAGAGAAUCUGUAGUGGCUAGGAACAUAUUUGGAAAAGUAGUCCUCUCUAAAAUGCAAAAGGAGGAUGAAGUAUUUCUUAAAUGCAAAUAGAAG